GGUGACUUGAACCUGACUGUAGGGUCCUAGUUCUGAUGGUUUUGGUUCCUGUUGAUUCUGAUCUGAGUUGGUCGCGGUUAAAGAUUUGAUUUUGGUUUGGUUUGAUUUCAGUUGUGGGUCUGGCCAUAUAGCAAGUUAGGGCUGGUUUUGAAUUGUAAGUUAAGAAGAUAGAAAAAAUUAAGUUGUAUUGCUUUUAAAUAAAAUUAAUUUUAAUUUCAUUAAUAAAGCUAUGCUUAUAAUUUUUCCUUUUUUAAUACAAAGAUAGCAGGGGAAAAAAAUGAAUGAUAAAUAUAAUAAUUUGUUGUGUAAUUAUAAAAGUGAGAAAAAAAAUGACAUGUCUUUGCAAAUGAAAGGAAAAAAAUAUAAUAACACUUCAAUUAUUAAGAUUCUUUUGUGGAAAUUGACAUAGAAAAUUGGAAAAAAAAUAAUUGUGUUUGAGUUGAGUUAAGAUGCUUACGUAUCCUCUGAGAGAGGAAUUAAAGUCCACAUAAUUCUCUUACCCUUGUAAUAGUCCCUAACUUACCUUAAUCCUUACUUUGUCCUUGAUGGUUGUGGAAAAAUGAAAAUUGGAUGUAAUAUUGCAUAACAAUAACAUUAAUUUAGGUAUUUAUAGAGUAUACAAUAAUGAGAGUUGAGAAUAAUUUGAAGAAUAGGAGAUGAUUGAGAGCUUGAGAGUUGGGAUAUUAG
rnacentral:misc_RNA from 1 species